rnacentral:rRNA from 1 species
AGAGCGAACGCUGGCGGCAUGCUUAACACAUGCAAGUCUCACGGGCAGCAAUGUCAGUGGCGGACGGGUGAGUAACGCGUAGGUAUCUAUCCAUGGGUGGGGGAUAACGUCGGGAAACUGACGCUAAUACCGCAUGACAUCUGAGGAUCAAAGGCGCGAGUCGCCUGUGGAGGAGCCUGCGUACGAUUAGCUAGUUGGUGGGGUAAAGGCCUACCAAGGCUACGAUCGUUAGCUGGUCUGAGAGGAUGAUCAGCCACACUGGGACUGAGACACGGCCCAGACUCCUACGGGAGGCAGCAGUGGGGAAUAUUGGACAAUGGGCGAAAGCCUGAUCCAGCAAUGCCGCGUGUGUGAAGAAGGUCUUCGGAUUGUAAAGCACUUUCGGCGGGGACGAUGAUGACGGUACCCGCAGAAGAAGCCCCGGCUAACUUCGUGCCAGCAGCCGCGGUAA